GGAAAAGACAUUACAUGGCCCUCCAAGGGCACUACCAAGGCUAUAUUGUGGCAGCAAUAGUAGUAAAAGGGUACAUGUAACAAGACAGUUUUUAUCCAACGUCCAAAAGUCGGAGCUGAGAUAUGGACCCAAGCUGAAGGCCUCUGGUUGCGUGGAUGGAAGCUGUGGACAGUGAUAAUUCAUGCUCAUCUUGAUGGUGGUUGUCAAGAGUGAGGGAUGAGAAGAGAUCCGGUUGGAUCAUUUUGCCGAGCACUUGUUGUGCAACAAUCUUCAUUUGGAACAAAUUAUAAAAGCUUUCCUUCAUGUUUCUAUUUCUUCCAUUGCCUCUCCAACCUCUCAAAAUUUAGAAACUCAACUAAAAUUGAAUACUCGUCUCUUAGGAAAAGCUAAAGAAUGGAGCUUAUGUAAUUUCGAUCUUCGGACUGUCGUUGAAUAUCAAGCUGGUGAAAUAAGAUUUUUUAUCUUUGCGAGCAAAGUGAACUGAAUAAUGGUAAAAAUGGUCGACCAAGAAGAACCAAUAGCAGAAUUCUCUCUUUGUAGACCUGUUGGUUGGUUCUUG
rnacentral:lncRNA from 1 species